rfam:Salmo salar isolate Sally breed double haploid chromosome ssa24, whole genome shotgun sequence.
UGCAUUCACUACUGUAAGUCGCUCUGAAUAAGAGCGUCUGCUAAAUGACAAAAA